UACGUAGGUGGCGAGCGUUGUCCGGAUUUACUGGGCGUAAAGGGAGCGUAGGCGGACUUUUAAGUGAGAUGUGAAAUACCCGGGCUUAACUUGGGUGCUGCAUUUCAAACUGGAAGUCUAGAGUGCAGGAGAGGAGAAUGGAAUUCCUAGUGUAGCGGUGAAAUGCGUAGAGAUUAGGAAGAACACCAGUGGCGAAGGCGACUCUUUGGUCUAUUACUGACGCUGAGGUACGAAAGCAUGGGUAGCAAACAGGAUUAGAUACCCGGGUAGUCCCU
rnacentral:rRNA from 1 species